GAUGAACGCUGGCGGCGUGCCUAAUACAUGCAAGUCGAGCGAACAGACGAGGAGCUUGCUCCUCUGACGUUAGCGGCGGACGGGUGAGUAACACGUGGAUAACCUACCUAUAAGACUGGGAUAACUUCGGGAAACCGGAGCUAAUACCGGAUAAUAUAUUGAACCGCAUGGUUCAAUAGUGAAAGACGGUUUUGCUGUCACUUAUAGAUGGAUCCGCGCCGCAUUAGCUAGCUGGUAAGGUAACGGCUUACCAAGGCGACGAUGCGUAGCCGACCUGAGAGGGUGAUCGGCCACACUGGAACUGAGACACGGUCCAGACUCCUACGGGAGGCAGCAGUAGGGAAUCUUCCGCAAUGGGCGAAAGCCUGACGGAGCAACGCCGCGUGAGUGAUGAAGGUCUUCGGAUCGUAAAACUCUGUUAUUAGGGAAGAACAAAUGUGUAAGUAACUAUGCACGUCUUGACGGUACCUAAUCAGAAAGCCACGGCUAACUACGUG
rnacentral:rRNA from 1 species